rnacentral:rRNA from 1 species
CCUACGGGUGGCUGCAGUGAGGAAUAUUGGUCAAUGGGCGCGAGCCUGAACCAGCCAAGUAGCGUGAAGGAUGACUGUCCUAUGGGUUGUAAACUUCUUUUAUCAAGGAAUAAAGUGCGGCACGUGUGCCUUUUUGUAUGUACUUUAUGAAUAAGGAUCGGCUAACUCCGUGCCAGCAGCCGCGGUAAUACGGAGGAUCCGAGCGUUAUCCGGAUUUAUUGGGUUUAAAGGGUGCGUAGAUGGGUUGUUAAGUCAGUUGUGAAAGUUUGCGGCUCAACCGUAAAAUUGCAAUUGAUACUGGCAGCCUUGAGUACAUGUGAGGUAGGCGGAAUUCGUGGUGUAGCGGUGAAAUGCUUAGAUAUCACGAAGAACUCCGAUUGCGAAGGCAGCCUACUAGACUGCCACUGACACUGAUGCACGAAAGUGUGGGUAUCGAACAGGAUUAGAUACCCGAGUAGUC